UGAUUAAAAAAUCAAACAAUUUCCUAAAUGGUUGGCAUGUGCAUACAUUUAUUUCUAGUCCUGCAAGCAUAGCCUGUCAAACAUUUAAUUUGAUCUGCAUUUAGUAACAUUCGGCAAGGUCAUUGAAAUCCAAUUGUCUUUUUUUACAAUUUGCUAGAUAACAC